UACGAAGGGGGCUAGCGUUGCUCGGAAUCACUGGGCGUAAAGCGCACGUAGGCGGAUUGCUAAGUCAGGGGUGAAAUCCUGGAGCUCAACUCCAGAACUGCCCUUUGAUACUGGCGAGCUUGAGUUCGGGAGAGGUGAGUGGAACUGCGAGUGUAGAGGUGAAAUUCGUAGAUAUUCGCAAGAACACCAGUGGCGAAGGCGGCUCACUGGCCCGAUACUGACGCUGAGGUGCGAAAGCGUGGGGAGCAAACAGG
rnacentral:rRNA from 1 species